GGAUUAGCUAGUUGGUGGGGUAAAGGCCUACCAAGGCGACGAUCCAUAGCUGGUCUGAGAGGAUGAUCAGCCACACUGGGGCUGAGACACGGUCCAGACUCCUACGGGAGGCAGCAGUGGGAAUAUUGGGCAAUGGAGGAAACUCUGACCCAGCCAUGCCGCGUGAAUGAUGAAGGCCUUAGGGUUGUAAAGUUCUUUCGCCGAUGAAGAUAAUGACGGUAGUCGGAGAAGAAGCCCUGGCUAACUUCGUG
rnacentral:rRNA from 1 species